rnacentral:rRNA from 1 species
GAUGAACGCUGGCGGCGUGCCUAAUACAUGCAAGUCGAGCGGACAGACGAUGAGCUUGCUCCUCUCACGUGAGCGGCGGGCGUGUGAGUAACACGUGGAUAACCUACCUAUAAGACUGGGAUCACUUCGGGAAACCGGAGCUAAUACCGGAUAAUAUAUUGAACCGCAUGGUUCAAUAGAGAAAGACGGUUUUGCUGUCACUUAUAGCUGGAUCCGCGCCGCAUUAGCUAGUUGGUAAGGUAACGGCCUACCAAGGCAACGAUGCGUAACCGAACGGAGGGGGUGAUAGGCCACCUGAGAACGUGAACACGGACAAGACUCCUACGGGACGCAGCAGUAGGGAACCUGCCGCAAUGGGCGAAAGCAUGGCGGAGCAGCGCCGAGUGAGUGAUGACGGUCUUCGGAUCGGAAUACUCUGUUAUGAGGGAAGAACAACUGUGUAAGUAAACAUGCACGGCUUGACGGUACCGAAUAAGAAAGCAACGGCUAACUACGUG